AGCAUGGAGUUGGGGCUGAGCUGCAUUUUCCUUGUUGCUCUUUUAAAAGGUGUCCAAUGUGAGGUGCAGCUGGUGGAGUCUGGGGGUGGCCUGGUGAAGCCUGGAGGGUCCCUGAAACUCUCCUGUGCAGCCUCUGGAUUCACCUUCAGUGACUUCUGGAUGCACUGGGUCCGCCAGGCUCCAGGGAAGGGCCUAUUGUGGGUUGGAGAAAUUAAUUAUGAUGGCAGUACCACAAACUAUGCACCGUCCGCGAAGGGCCGGUUCACCAUCUCCAGAGACAAUGCCAAGAACACUCUGUACCUGCAAAUGAAAAGUGUGAAGUCUGAGGACACUGCCACUUAUUACUGUACUCUUAACAAAGUGAGGGGAUCUCAGUGUGAACCCAGAUAUAAACCUCACUGUGAACCCGCUCACGGCCUCCAGGGGGCGCACACAACUCACAGAACACAACGUCCCAGGAGAGCAUAA